rnacentral:rRNA from 1 species
UACGUAGGGGGCAAGCGUUGUCCGGAAUUAUUGGGCGUAAAGAGCGCGUAGGCGGUCCGAUAAGUCGGCUGUGAAAGUCAGGGGCUCAACCCUUGGAAGCCGGCCGAUACUGUCGGACUAGAGUCCGGAAGAGGCGAGUGGAAUUCCCGGUGUAGCGGUGAAAUGCGUAGAUAUCGAGAGGAACACCUGCGGCGAAGGCGGGUUGCUGGGCUGACACUGACGCUGAUGCGCGAAAGCCAGGGGAGCGAACGGG